GACGAACGCUGGCGGCGUGCUUAACACAUGCAAGUCGAACGGAAAGGCCCUGCUUUUGUGGGGUGCUCGAGUGGCGAACGGGUGAGUAACACGUGAGUAACCUGCCCUUGACUUUGGGAUAACUUCAGGAAACUGGGGCUAAUACCGGAUAGGAGCUCCUGCUGCAUGGUGGGGGUUGGAAAGUUUCGGCGGUUGGGGAUGGACUCGCGGCUUAUCAGCUUGUUGGUGGGGUAGUGGCUUACCAAGGCUUUGACGGGUAGCCGGCCUGAGAGGGUGACCGGCCACGUUGGGACUGAGAUACGGCCCAGACUCCUACGGGAGGCAGCAGUGGGGAAUAUUGCACAAUGGGCGGAAGCCUGAUGCAGCAACGCCGCGUGCGGGAUGACGGCCUUCGGGUUGUAAACCGAUUUCGCCUGUGACGAAGCGUGAGUGACGGUAAUGGGUAAAGAAGCACCGGCUAACUACGUG
rnacentral:rRNA from 1 species